AAAAGUUGCAUGGUGUAGACCCGAAACCGGGUGACCUAUCCAUGGCCAGGUUGAAGCGAGAGUAAAAUCUCGUGGAGGACCGAACCACGUUGGUGUUGAAAAACCAUGGGAUGAGCUGUGGAUAGCGGAGAAAUUCCAAUCGAACUCGGAGAUAGCUGGUUCUCCCCGAAAUAGCUUUAGGGCUAGCGUCGUGUAAUUGAGUAAUGGAGGUAGAGCACUGAAUGGGCUAGGGGCUAUAGUAGUUACCGAACCCUAUCAAACUCCGAAUGCCAUAUACUUGUAUCACGGCAGUCAGACUGCGAAUGAUAAGAUCCGUAGUCAAAAGGGAAACAGCCCAGACCAUCAGCUAAGGUCCCAAAGUGUAAGUUAAGUGGAAAAGGAUGUGGGAUUUCUAAGACAACUAGGAUGUUGGCUUAGAAGCAGCCACUCAUUUAAAGAGUGCGUAAUAGCUCACUAGUCAAGAGAUCCUGCGCCGAAGAUGUCCGGGGCUCAAACUUACCACCGAAGCUAUGGGUGUACACUACGUGUACGCGGUAGGGGAGCUUUCUGUAU
rnacentral:rRNA from 1 species